rnacentral:rRNA from 1 species
AGUGAACGCUGGCGGUAGGCCUAACACAUGCAAGUCGAACGGCAGCACAGUAAGAGCUUGCUCUUACGGGUGUCGAGUGGCGGACGGUUGAGGAAUACAUCGGAAUCUACUUUUUCGUGGGGGAUAACGUAGGGAAACUUACGCUAAUACCGCAUACGACCUACGGGUGAAAGCAGGGGAUCUUCGGACCUUGCGCGAUUGAAUGAGCCGAUGUCGGAUUAGCUAGUUGGCGGGGUAAAGGCCCACCAAGGCGACGAUCCGUAGCUGGUCUGAGAGGAUGAACAGACACACUGGAACUGAGAACCGGUCCAGACUCCUACGGGAGGAAGCAGUGGGGAAUAUUGGACAAUGGGCGAAAGCCUGAUCCAGCAAUACCGCGUGGGUGAAGAAGGCCUUCGGGUUGUAAAGCCAUUUUGUUGGGAAAGAAAAGCAGCAGGUUAAUACCCCGCGGUUCUGACGGUACCCAAAGAAUAAGCACCGGCUAACUUCGUG